rnacentral:tRNA from 1 species
GGCGUUGUGGCUCAGUGGUAGAGUACUUGCCUCUCAUGUGCAAGGCCCUGGGUUCGCUCUUCAGCGCCA